GAGAAUUGGCGUAGGCACAGGGCGAGGGACACGGGCGCUGGGCGUUUAGGUCCAAGCUGCAGCCGCUGACUGGUAGCGAGGACUUGAGUGGAACAUGGCUCGGCCGUACAUUUGCCUUCUGGCCCUGGCGGCUGUGCUGCUGCUAGGUAUCGCCACCAUCUCCAGGUCGAGGGGCCUACGGGACAAGGCUCAUCAGAGUGCGCCGCGAAUCCCUUCUCAGUUCAGCCAAGAGGAGCGCGUCGCGAUGAAGGAAGCUCUAAAAGGUGCCAUCCAGAUUCCAACAGUAUCUUUCAGCCCCAAGGAGCUCAACACGACAGCCCUGGCUGAGUUUGGAGAAUACAUUCGUAAAGUCUUUCCUACUGUGUUCAAAACCAGCUUCAUCCGGCAUGAAGUCGUGGGAGAGUAUAGCCACCUGUUCACUGUCCACGGCUCGGACCCCAGCCUACAGCCCUACAUGCUCCUAGCUCACAUUGAUGUGGUGCCUGCCCCUGAUGAAGGCUGGGACGUGCCCCCUUUCUCUGGGCUGGAACGUGAUGGCUUCAUCUACGGUCGAGGCACAAUAGACAACAAGAACUCUCUUAUGGGAAUCCUGCAGUCCUUGGAACUUCUGCUCAUCAGAAACUACAUCCCUCGAAGAUCUUUCUUCAUUGCUCUGGGCCAUGAUGAGGAGGUGAUGGGGGUCAAUGGGGCUCAGAAGAUCUCAGCCCUUCUACAGGCAAGGGGCGUCCAGCUAGCCUUCAUUGUGGAUGAGGGGAGUUUCAUCUUUGAUGGUUUCAUUCCCGGCCUUAAGAACCCCUUUGCCAUGGUUUCAGUCUCCGAGAAGGGCUUAAUUAACCUCAUGCUGCAAGUAAACACGACUCCAGGACACUCUUCAGCUCCUCCAAAGGAAACUAGCAUUGGCAUCCUUGCAGCCGCUGUCAACCGACUGGAACAGACACCAAUGCCAAACAUGUUUGGAGAUGGGCCAACAAAGAUGGCAUUGCAGGAACUGGCAAAUGAGUUUUCCUUCCCUACCAAUUUAUUCUUGAGCAACAUGUGGCUCUUUCGGCCCCUUGUAAGCAGGUUGAUGGAGAGGAAUUUCGUAACCAAUGCGCUGGUCCGGACCACCACAGCACUCACCAUGUUUAACUCGGGAAUCAAGGUAAAUGUCAUCCCCGCUGUGGCCCAGGCCAUCGUCAACUUCCGGAUUCACCCCGCACAGACUGUCCAGGAGGUCCUAAAACUAGCCAAGGACAUUGUGGCGGACGACCGGGUCCAGUUCCACGUGUUGAAUGCCUUUGACCCCUCACCCAUCAGCCCCUCUGAUGAUCAAGCCUUAGGCUACCAGCUGCUCCGCCAGACCAUACAGUCUGUCUUCCCGGAAAUCAACAUUGUUGUCCCAGGUACAUGUGUUGUCAGCACAGACAGCAAACACUAUUUGAACCUCACCACUGGCAUCUACCUGUUCAACCCCCUCUACCUGCAGCCGCAGAGCUUCCGCACCAGAUUUUUAGUCCCAGGAUAUGAGGGAUGAUGUCCAUUUCCUCUCUGCUCCUUACCACAUCCAGCUCUGAUUUCCUCGUCCGUGCAUGGAAUCAAUGAGAGAAUCUCAGUUCAAGCCUACGAGAGGCAAGUGAAGUUCAUUUUCGAGUUUAUCCAGAAUGCUGACACAGACCCCAAGCCAGUUCCUCACCUGCAUGAACUGUGAGGUCAGGGAGCCCGCUGGUUUAGGGGUGCCUGAUGCUGGGCCAGGACUAACCCAAGGGGAAAGCCGGUGUUGAUGAAGCUUCUGGUCAAAACCACCGUAUAAGGGCCUUGCCCACCUGCCUUGAUCAUCCCUAAAUUCACCCACGAACAAGGCCAGGGAGAAGUGACGGCCACCAGGAACCCAGCUUCGCCCUUCCUGCCGACAAUGCCAUCCUUCAGCAGAUGGGCAUUUACUGCCUUCUUGUCCAUAAGUUAGAAGAUAGCCGGUUUGUCUGUCUUCCUCUCAUCAAGGCCUGAUUUAGUAAAUGCAGAUUUGAAAAAUACCAACCAA